GUGUUAAUGGUCCUUUACGCUAGUGGUGU
rnacentral:piRNA from 1 species